GAUAUGAACCGUUAUAACCGGCGAUUUCCGAAUGGGGAAACCCAGUGUGAUUCGUCACACUAUCAUUAACUGAAUCCAUAGGUUAAUGAGGCGAACCGGGGGAACUGAAACAUCUAAGUACCCCGAGGAAAAGAAAUCAACCGAGAUUCCCCCAGUAGCGGCGAGCGAACGGGGAGCAGCCCAGAGCCUGAAUCAGUGUGUGUGUUAGUGGAAGCGUCUGGAAAGGCGUGCGAUACAGGGUGACAGCCCCGUACACAAAAAUGCACAUACUGUGAGCUCGAUGAGUAGGGCGGGACACGUGGUAUCCUGUCUGAAUAUGGGGGGACCAUCCUCCAAGGCUAAAUACUCCUGACUGACCGAUAGUGAACCAGUACCGUGAGGGAAAGGCGAAAAGAACCCCGGCGAGGGGAGUGAAAAAGAACCUGAAACCGUGUACGUACAAGCAGUGGGAGCACGCUUAGGCGUGUGACUGCGUACCUUUUGUAUAAUGGGUCAGCGACUUAUAUUCUGUAGCAAGGUUAACCGAAUAGGGGAGCCGAAGGGAAACCGAGUCUUAACUGGGCGUUAAGUUGCAGGGUAUAGACCCGAAACCCGGUGAUCUAGCCAUGGGCAGGUUGAAGGUUGGGUAACACUAACUGGAGGACCGAACCGACUAAUGUUGAAAAAUUAGCGGAUGACUUGUGGCUGGGGGUGAAAGGCCAAUCAAACCGGGAGAUAGCUGGUUCUCCCCGAAAGCUAUUUAGGUAGCGCCUCGUGAAUUCAUCUCCGGGGGUAGAGCACUGUUUCGGCAAGGGGGUCAUCCCGACUUACCAACCCGAUGCAAACUGCGAAUACCGGAGAAUGUUAUUACGGGAGACACACGGCGGGUGCUAACGUCCGUCGUGAAGAGGGAAACAACCCAGACCGCCAGCUAAGGUCCCAAAGUCAUGGUUAAGUGGGAAACGAUGUGGGAAGGCCCAGACAGCCAGGAUGUUGGCUUAGAAGCAGCCAUCAUUUAAAGAAAGCGUAAUAGCUCACUGGUCGAGUCGGCCUGCGCGGAAGAUGUAACGGGGCUAAACCAUGCACCGAAGCUGCGGCAGCGACGCUUAUGCGUUGUUGGGUAGGGGAGCGUUCUGUAAGCCUGUGAAGGUGUGCUGUGAGGUAUGCUGGAGGUAUCAGAAGUGCGAAUGCUGACAUAAGUAACGAUAAAGCGGGUGAAAAGCCCGCUCGCCGGAAGACCAAGGGUUCCUGUCCAACGUUAAUCGGGGCAGGGUGAGUCGACCCCUAAGGCGAGGCCGAAAGGCGUAGUCGAUGGGAAACAGGUUAAUAUUCCUGUACUUGGUGUUACUGCGAAGGGGGGACGGAGAAGGCUAUGUUGGCCGGGCGACGGUUGUCCCGGUUUAAGCGUGUAGGCUGGUUUUCCAGGCAAAUCCGGAAAAUCAAGGCCGAGGCGUGAUGACGAGGCACUACGGUGCUGAAGCAACAAAUGCCCUGCUUCCAGGAAAAGCCUCUAAGCAUCAGGUAACAUCAAAUCGUACCCCAAACCGACACAGGUGGUCAGGUAGAGAAUACCAAGGCGCUUGAGAGAACUCGGGUGAAGGAACUAGGCAAAAUGGUGCCGUAACUUCGGGAGAAGGCACGCUGAUACGUAGGUGAAGCGACUUGCUCGUGGAGCUGAAAUCAGUCGAAGAUACCAGCUGGCUGCAACUGUUUAUUAAAAACACAGCACUGUGCAAACACGAAAGUGGACGUAUACGGUGUGACGCCUGCCCGGUGCCGGAAGGUUAAUUGAUGGGGUUAGCGCAAGCGAAGCUCUUGAUCGAAGCCCCGGUAAACGGCGGCCGUAACUAUAACGGUCCUAAGGUAGCGAAAUUCCUUGUCGGGUAAGUUCCGACCUGCACGAAUGGCGUAAUGAUGGCCAGGCUGUCUCCACCCGAGACUCAGUGAAAUUGAACUCGCUGUGAAGAUGCAGUGUACCCGCGGCAAGACGGAAAGACCCCGUGAACCUUUACUAUAGCUUGACACUGAACAUUGAGCCUUGAUGUGUAGGAUAGGUGGGAGGCUUUGAAGUGUGGACGCCAGUCUGCAUGGAGCCGACCUUGAAAUACCACCCUUUAAUGUUUGAUGUUCUAACGUGGACCCGUGAUCCGGGUUGCGGACAGUGUCUGGUGGGUAGUUUGACUGGGGCGGUCUCCUCCUAAAGAGUAACGGAGGAGCACGAAGGUUGGCUAAUCCUGGUCGGACAUCAGGAGGUUAGUGCAAUGGCAUAAGCCAGCUUGACUGCGAGCGUGACGGCGCGAGCAGGUGCGAAAGCAGGUCAUAGUGAUCCGGUGGUUCUGAAUGGAAGGGCCAUCGCUCAACGGAUAAAAGGUACUCCGGGGAUAACAGGCUGAUACCGCCCAAGAGUUCAUAUCGACGGCGGUGUUUGGCACCUCGAUGUCGGCUCAUCACAUCCUGGGGCUGAAGUAGGUCCCAAGGGUAUGGCUGUUCGCCAUUUAAAGUGGUACGCGAGCUGGGUUUAGAACGUCGUGAGACAGUUCGGUCCCUAUCUGCCGUGGGCGCUGGAGAACUGAGGGGGGCUGCUC
rnacentral:rRNA from 1 species